rnacentral:lncRNA from 1 species
UUUGAUGUCGAUGGAUUGUAUUGUACAACCAGUAACAAAAUAUCAUGAGUUUGAACGAUGAAUAUAAAUAUUAUUUUUGUAAGGAUACAUAUUUAAUGGAUGUUUAUCGCUAAUGAAUGAUAAAUCCGACAAAACAAAAACUUGAACUUAUCAGUUUGUCAAAGCCACAUCACCUUUGACCAGUUCUAAUUAUCAUGAAAUAAAAAGAUAAUAACGUGAAAGUGCCACGUAACUCAGCCAGAAGCAAAGCCCAAUAAUCCGAUAUAGGCCCAAUUAUGUUUGAAAAAGAGAAACAUUGAAAUCCAAGAUUUGUGAUAUUGUUACAGCCUUCAGUCCACUAAUGAGCUAUAAGCUGGUAUUAAUUGGGCUUUUUCAUUUUCCAAGUCCAUUAAAUACCUCUUCCAUUGUUUGUUCUUGAUAUGAAUCUCUUCUCACUUUUUUUUCUUUAUACAUAGAAUAUCAAAAGAACAAUGGAAUGUAAUGAACUUAUAGAUAUGAUAUAAUGAAGCUUAAAAGAAAUAAUAUCUAAGUAAAUUUACAAAAUGUGGGCAUUGUGUUGUUGGAAAAAGGGAAAGCGACUAAACCUAAUAAACAAAUAUCAGAUUUGUGAAGGGACAAUGGAGCCUCUUUGAUCUUUACCAAUCGUCUUUUAUUUGGUUGGACCACUCUCACCUUCCUAUUCAUUACAUCUUUCAUGUGUAACCGAAUCUUCCACAUAUCGAAACCUUUACUAAUAUCUCAAAACCUGACAAGUUGUGCAUUAAGUGAAGACGAGAUCAAUGUAUAUACGUUUAGUUAUCAGAUUUUUUAAUCAAACAAAGUUGUUGUGGAAGGGAUCGUACUUAUAUUUUCUUAUAGAUUUAAAAUACUCAACUAUUUCAGCCACCAGCACGUAGACAUUGACAUUUUCAUAUAUAUCUUAUGAUGAAAUUUUUUUUGUUAAUUUGGCCGGAUCCAACACCAUCAUUACAUAUUGAGAUGCAUGUCUUAUGUUAUGUCAUGUGCAUGUAAUAUAAUAUAUGUGGUUAAUUGUGGAAACAGUCGAUAAAUUAUGUGGAUGUAUAUAUAGCUUGAGGCUGGGAUCAUUAUUAGCUGACUUAUGCAGCCAUUGCAGAGGC